UUGAUCAUGGCUCAGGACGAACGCUGGCGGCGUGCUUAACACAUGCAAGUCGAGCGGUAAGUGCCCUUUCGGGGUGUACACGAGCGGCGAACGGGUGAGUAACACGUGGGUAACCUGCCCUCAGCUCUGGGAUAAGCCCGGGAAACUGGGUCUAAUACCGGAUAUGACUCCGCAUCGCAUGGUGUGGGGUGGAAAGCCUUGUGCGGCUGAGGAUGGGCCCGCGGCCUAUCAGCUUGUUGGUGGGGUAGUGGCCUACCAAGGCGACGACGGGUAGCCGGCCUGAGAGGGCGACCGGCCACACUGGGACUGAGACACGGCCCAGACUCCUACGGGAGGCAGCAGUGGGGAAUAUUGCGCAAUGGGCGAAAGCCUGACGCAGCGACGCCGCGUGAGGGAUGAAUGCCUUCGGGUUGUAAACCUCUUUCAGCAGGGACGAAGCGAGAGUGACGGUACCUGCAGAAGAAGCAGCCUGGCCAACUACGUGCCAGCAGCCGCGGUAAUACGUAGGGUGCAAGCNUUGUCCGGAAUUAUUGGGCGUAAAGAGCUCGUAGGCGGUCUGUCGCGUCGGCUGUGAAAACUCGGGGCUCAACCCGAGCCUGCAGUCGAUACGGGCAGACUAGAGUGCUGUAGGGGAGACUGGAAUUCCUGGUGUAGCGGUGAAAUGCGCAGAUAUC
rnacentral:rRNA from 1 species